UACGUAGGGGGCAAGCGUUAUCCGGAUUCACUGGGUGUAAAGGGAGCGCAGGCGGUACGGCGAGUCUGAUGUGAAAACCCGGGGCCCAACCCCGGGACCGCACCGGAUACCGCCGGACUCGAGUGCCGGAGGGGCAGGCGGAAUUCCUGGUGUAGUGGUGAAAUGCGCAGAUAUCAGGAGGAACACCGGUGGCGAAGGCGGCCUGCUGGACGGUAACUGACGCUGAGGCUCGAAAGCGUGGGGAGCGAACAGG
rnacentral:rRNA from 1 species